rnacentral:tRNA from 1 species
UCAGGAAAGAAUUAAAAUAAAUCCUUCUUUAAUCUCCAAAAUUAAAAUUUUAAAUAAACUAUUUCCUG